rnacentral:snRNA from 1 species
GGAUGUGAGGGUAGACUGGCUGUACCCUGGCAUCCCAUUGGGGCCGGGUUGAUGGGGCUGAUGCUGGCUAGGCACGUGUCAUCCCCUUAGUCCCUCACUGUUCCUGGUGCAUCCUUCCCUGUGGUCGAGGAGGGUGACUCCUGGUGGAGGGAGGGGUAAGGUAACCU